rnacentral:tRNA from 1 species
AAAUUUUCCGCGGGCA